rnacentral:rRNA from 1 species
UACGAAGGGGGCUAGCGUUGCUCGGAAUGACUGGGCGUAAAGGGCGCGUAGGCGGAAUGCUUUGUCGGGCGUGAAAUCCCCGGGCUCAACCCGGGAACUGCGUCCGAUACUGGGAGGCUUGAGUAUGGGAGAGGGAUGUAGAAUUCCAGGUGUAGCGGUGAAAUGCGCAGAUAUCAGGAAGAACACCAAUGGCGAAAGCAGCUCUCUGGGACGGUACUGACGCUGAGACGCGAAAGCGUGGGGAGCGAACAGG